CCCUUAGAUGUUCUGGGCCGCACGCGCGCUACACUGAUGCAUUCAACGAGUCUAAAACCUGCUCUGAUAGGGGUGGGUAAUCUUUUGACUGUGCAUCGUGAUUGGGAUAGAUGAUUGAAAUUUUUCAUCUUCAACGAGGAAUGCCUAGUAAACGCAAGUCAUCAGCUUGCAUUGAUUACGUCCCUGCCCUUUGUACACACCGCCCGUCGCUCCUACCGAUUGAAUGAUCCGAUGAAUAUCAUGGAUUGAGGAUGCAAGUAGGUUCGCCUAUCUUCAUCUUCGAGAAGUGAAGUAAAUCUUAUCAUUUAGAGGAAGGAGAAGUCGUAACA
rnacentral:rRNA from 1 species